rnacentral:lncRNA from 1 species
CAUCUCUACUAAAAAUACAAAAAUUAGCCAGGCCUGGUGGUGGGUGCCUAUAAUCCCAGCUACUCGGGAGACUGAGGCAGUAGAAUUGCUUGAACCUGGGAGGCAGAGGUUGCAGUGAGCUGAGAUCGUGCCACUGCACUCCAGCUUGAGUGACAGAGUGAGACUCCGUCUCAAAAAUAAAAAAAAACAAAAACAAAAGAGUGUCCAUUAUCUAUACUGGAAAAAUUGAGAUUGGGAUUUUUGACAUGAAGUGCGGAAAUGUGGAUUGGGUCCAUUUAGUUUACCUAAACAGAUGAUGAAAUACUAACUGUUUUACGAAGCAUUCCCUAGUGCAAAGUUUUGCCUGUGUGUCUAGUGACGGGAACAGUAAGAAUGAGGCUUGGAACGCGGAGUGCAUUGUGGGCCUGUCGUGGGUGGGGCCAGCAGCACAUGCAUGCCUGGCUCACAGAGCAGCCUUUGGGUGUUCUUUUCCUGGAGGAGCUCUACGGUGAUUUUGAAGACUUGGAAACGGGACGUGCACAAGGGAAAAUCGGGCCCCGACACUCAGAAUGAAGAUAUAGAGAAACAAGGAAGAAAUUGACCCUGACGAAGAAGAAAGUGCCAAGAAAAAGCAUUUGGAUAAGAAGAGAAAAUUGAAGGAGAUGUUUGAUGCAGAAUAUGAUGAAGGAGAAAGCACAUAUUUUGAUGAUCUUAAAGGAGAAAUGCAGAAAGAAGCACAGGUG